UGAGGAAUCUUCCGCAAUGGGCGCAAGCCUGACGGAGCGACGCCGCGUGAAGGAUGAAGGCCCUUACGGGUCGUAAACUUCUGUUCUGAGGGAAGAAAUUUUUGACGGUACCUCAGGAGAAAGUAUCGGCAAACCCUGUGCCAGCAGCCGCGGUAAUACAGGGGAUACAAGCGUUACUCGGAAUCACUGGGCGUAAAGCGUCUGUAGGUGCUUUGGUAAGUCUGCGGUAAAAGCUCGGGGCUCAACCCUGAGAGCGUCGCGGAAACUCCCAAAGUUGAGCAGUAGAGAGGCAUCUGGAAUGCCGCAUGUAGGAGUAAAAUCCGUAGAUAUGCGGUAGAACGCCAAAAGCGUAGGCAGGAUGCUAGCUACUUGCUGACACUGAGAGACGAAAGCGUGGGGAGCGAAGCGG
rnacentral:rRNA from 1 species